UCAAAUUGAGAAAAAGACAAAAAUAGCACUAAAUCAAAUUUAUGUUCCCAAACUAGCACUCAAGGUCAAAAGUCACAAAAAUAGUACUUAAUGUUUUAUCAAAAGUCACAAACUUAAGGUUUAGAGUUAAAGGGUGGGGUUUAGGAUUUAGGGUUUAGGGUUUAGAGUUUAGGGUUUAGAUUUUAGGGUUUAGGAUUUAGGGUUUAGGGUUUAGGGUUUAGAGUUUAGGGUUUAGGGUUUAGAGUUUAGAGUUUAGGGUUUAGAGUUGAGAAAUGAGGUUUUGGGGAUAAGAUUUCAAAUUUUGAAAAAUAAAAAAAAUUAAAAUUUUUAAAGGAUAAACUUAGAAAGGUGCUAUUUUGGUCAUUUUAGUUUUUGAGUGCUAUUUUUGUGAUAUAAACUUAGAAAUGUGUUAUUUUGGAGAUUUGCCCUUUCAAAUUGUUUCUUAAUCAAUAAAGAAAUUAACAAAAUUAAUUAUUCAUUAAAAUUUUAAUUUUAAUCAAUAGUUUUAUUUUAUGUUUUGAAAAAUAUUCUUUUAGUUUUUACAGUCA
rnacentral:lncRNA from 1 species